AAUACAGUGACCACAGAGCAUUAGCACCCAAGCAGGACCUGCUGAACCUGGGGCCCUAUAGGAGAGCACUGAUGGCCCACCCCUGAUUGUGGCCCUGGUCUUCAUGUCUGCAUCAGCCUCAGCCAUCUCAAGACCACAACAGGAACAUAGCCAAGUCAGAGAAGGAAGACCAAAAGCACCAGGGCCCUUCAUAUUAUUAAGCUGCUAAAUUAACUAAUCUUGGAAACUUCUAGACUCUACAAUUCUUGUUGUAUGAGAAAUCAUCUACUACAUAAAAUUCUGGUUUCAUACUUGGCCAUUCCUGCUUAACGGAGCUAACAAAGAAAUUUAAGAGUGGAUUGACAAUUAUUCUCUGGACUUUUUGGUAACCAAGAACUUCUAGCAACUAACCCUGGCAUGACCACCAGAAUCUGCAGGGCUGAGAGAAGAAAGAAAGGCAAAAGUGGAUGAAUGCAGCUGAAGAUGCUGUGGAACUCCUAUCACAUUCCAAGUGCUGUGUUGAUAUCUGGAGAUAUAGACAAGAUCGAAGCAGAUGCAGUCUUUCACAUGAAUAUUUGAAUCAGGCAGUAUGUUCCCCAAAUUAGCAAAGUAUCUCCCAGAUUUUUUCUUUGAUGAUAUAUUUGAAAUCCUAAUGCUGAAAGUUAAAUUAUCAGGGUUUUAAAACUAGAAGCAGUCAUUAUCAGAAUUUUAUAUACUAUUUAUUUUUAAGAACGUAAUUUGACUGUUUAAGUCUUAUUAUAAUUUUAAGUGAAGUACUUUGGGCAGUCAUAAAUAAAGUAAUGGGCAGGUAUUUAGUAUUCAUAUUGUGUGGAUUCAUAUCCAUACUCUGCCACUCAGUAUCUCUGGGAUUUUGAUGAAUGAUCAAACUCUCUGAGCCUCAGUUUUCUAAUCUGUAAAGCAGAAAUGAUAAUGGUAUGUAGUGAUAAUUAAACAAUUUACUAGUUGUAAGUGCUUAGAACAGUUCCUGGAAUAGAGAAAAUUUGCAGAGAGAUUUUUAUUGUUUACAAUUUAGUUAAUGGAAUGGCUUCAAUAAUACAGUAAAAUUAAGAUAUUCAAACAAGCAGGAUGCAGGUGAUGGGUAUUGGCCUCAGCUUUAGAGACCAGAGGUUAAAUCUCAGUGCUGCCUGCCACAAAACGAUCCAUGUAAGUCAAUAAACAAUGCUUUUUAAAAUAUUAUUAUAAAGAUAUAGUGUGUGGAUCCCUCUCAAUUGUCCAUUCUUCCCUGUCACAAAAAUUUGCCUGCUUUUCGUUACCAUGUGAGAGGCAAAUGAAUUGAACUAAAUGGUUUCUAAUGCCCUGUCCACCUCUAAAAUUCUAUAGAACUGUGAUUUGAUUCCAAUGGGCCAUAUCAGGACUCGGCAUUAUUUUCAUCAGUGAACCAUUUCAUUAGAAAUUUAUUUUUCCAAAUGAUAUUAGUAAAUAUUGAAGGAGGCUUCUCCCACAGAGCUUCUUGUACAAAUUAAAACAGGGCAGUAGAAGGUUUUCAGGUUGGUGAAGUCAACUCUGGCUUUUAGUCAACCAUUCCAAAAAAACAUUUUCUUUAGAAUCCAAGGGCUUGCAAUUGUUCUGAAUAAAGCAUAAAGAAGCUGUUCUGAUUUAUUAAAUAAAAAGAGUACCAAAUAUAUGAUUUUUAAAAUGUUUCAAA
rnacentral:lncRNA from 1 species